rnacentral:rRNA from 1 species
GACGAACGCUGGCGGUGUGCUUAACACAUGCAAGUCGAACGGUAAGGCCCUUUCGGGGGUACACGAGUGGCGAACGGGUGCGUAACACGUGAGUAACCUGCCCUCAUCUCUGGGAUAACAGUCGGAAACGGCUGCUAAUACUGGAUAUGAGCUUGCAAGGCAUCUUGUGGGUUGGAAAGAUUUUUUUGGUUGGGGAUGGACUCGCGGCCUAUCAGCUUGUUGGUGAGGUAGUGGCUCACCAAGGCUUCGACGGGUAGCCGGCCUGAGAGGGCGACCGGCCACAUUGGGACUGAGAUACGGCCCAAACUCCUACGGGAGGCAGCAGUGGGGAAUAUUGCACAAUGGACGGAAGUCUGAUGCAGCAACGCCGCGGGCGGGAUGACGGCCUUCGGGUUGUAAACCGCUUUCAAUUGUGACGAAGCUUUUUGUGACGGUAGCAGUAGAAGAAGCACCGGCUAACUACGUG